GAUGAACGCUGGCGGCGUGCCUAAUACAUGCAAGUCGAGCGAACAGACGAGGAGCUUGCUCCUCUGACGUUAGCGGCGGACGGGUGAGUAACACGUGGAUAACCUACCUAUAAGACUGGGAUAACUUCGGGAAACCGGAGCUAAUACCGGAUAAUAUAUUGAACCGCAUGGUUCAAUAGUGAAAGACGGUUUUGCUGUCACUUAUAGAUGGAUCCGCGCCGCAUUAGCUAGUUGGUAAGGUAACGGCUUACCAAGGCAACGAUGCGUAGCCGACCUGAGAGGGUGAUCGGCCACACUGGAACUGAGACACGGUCCAGACUCCUACGGGAGGCAGCAGUAGGGAAUCUUGCGCAAUGGGCGAAAGCUUGACGGAGCAACGCCGCGUGAGUGAUGAAGGUCUUCGGAUCGUAAAACUCUGUUAUUAGGGAAGAACAAAUGUGUAAGUAAAUAUGCACGUCUUGACGGUACCUAAUCAGAAAGCCACGGCUAACUACGUG
rnacentral:rRNA from 1 species